AUUCAGACAAGUAGCAGCAGCUCCAGGGCUUCAGAUAAUUUCUGUGUUUCAGUUCUUUUCAUUCCAUCCCUCUCAAGUAGUGCUUUGUCUCAGGGGUUGUUGUUUAAAUUCAAGCUCCAUCAUUGUGACUGCUGUACUAGGAGAAAAGUCAGAAGAGUGGAAAAUUUUGAAGAAGUAUCUCUGGCAAGAAUCUAGAAAGUUUUCUUCUAGGACUAUCAAGGACUAUGUGGAUCUGACAGGCACUUCUGCUCAGCUCUCCUCUAGAGACUCCUAGAACAUCAUCGUUUCCUGAUUUCUUUGCUGGCUGCUUUUAUAACCAAACUCCAAACAUCAAAAUUAUCAUCUUAGUCCUGGGUGUUCUGUCCUAAUGUGUUAACUGCAAAAAUGACCUCAAUUCUUAGGAACUUCUGCCAUCAGUAGCUGGAGUCUAUUGGGUUUCAAGUCUGGGCCUCAAGAGGCAUUGCAAACUUUCAUCCUCUCUUUUGAGAUUUCAGCACCAUCACCAAAUGAACAAGUCCCAGGUAGCCUGCUGGAGGAUGUACAACCAUGUGGAACGCCGAUGAGCCAUCACAGCUGAGUUGUUUUGGACCUGCUAGCUCUAAACCAAUGUCGCAGCUGUCUGUAGAAGCACGAAUGAGAUAUGGCCAAGCUCCAUUGAGCCUGGCCCAGAUAAGCAGAACUGUUUCACGGAGCCCAGGACAAAUUGCCAAACCCCAGUAUUGUGUAUUCAAUAAUUUCUAGUUGUUCUAAGCCACUAAGUUUCAGGGUGACUUGUUAAGUGGUUAUAACUACCUAAUAAGUACAUUUUGUAUUUCCUUUUUAUUAUCAUCUACCAUAGCCUGUUAUUAUUUUCUUUGUUUGUUUAUUUAUUUAUUAGCUGUUUCUCUGCAAAUGUAGGACAAUUGCAUUGUCUUGUCCUCUGAUGUAUUCAAAACAGUUGGUGACUGGCACGUCAAAGACACUUAUUGAAAAGUUACUGAAUAAAUGAACACAUGAUUGGAUGAAUAAAUGUUUAUAGGUAAAACUUCCAAAAGUAUAUUGAUAAAAAUGAAUAUUUCUAUCAGUUAUAUUAAUAACUUAUUUGCUGUCUAGAAUGACUCAGGAAAUUUAAUGUAUAUUAUUAAAGCACAAUUUCUAUUUUUUGUUUUAGGUUGUUUUUCUGCCAUUGCUAUCUACUUUGAUUAUUUUGCUAU
rnacentral:lncRNA from 1 species